UCUGCCCGUGCAAAGGUAGCGUAAUCACUCGUUCUUUAAAUAGGGACUUGUAUCAACGGCAUCACGAGGGUCGCACUGUCUCCUCCCUCUAAUCAGUGAACCUGAUCUCUCCGUGAAGAAGCGGGGAUAAAAGUAUAAGACGAGAAGACCCCAUGGAGCUUUAAACCUAAAGCAAUCUAAUUAAAUAAACCCCUACAUAAUUUAAAUAUGCAUAACGGUUUUAGGUUGGGGUGACCGCGGAGUAAAAACAAACCUCCACAACGAAAAGAACUGAAUCUUUAUUCAAGAGCUACUACUCUAAAAAUUAGCAUACUAACGAACAAUGACCCGAUAAUCGAUUAAUGGACCAAGUUACCCUGGGUGAUAACAGUCGCAAUCUACUUCAAGAGCCCAUAUCGACAAGUAGGCUUACGACCUCGAUGUUGGUGAUCAGGGUAUCCCAGUGGUGCAACCGCUACUAAUGGUUCGUCUGUUCCACAAUUAACAACACGAACGAGAACGCAACCCUUACCCGAGAAGAACUUU
rnacentral:rRNA from 1 species